GAGUUUGAUCUUGGCUCAGAUUGAACGCUGGCGGCAUGCCUUACACAUGCAAGUCGAACGGCAGCAUGAUCUAGCUUGCUAGAUUGAUGGCGAGUGGCGAACGGGUGAGUAAUACAUCGGAACGUGCCCUGUAGUGGGGGAUAACUAGUCGAAAGAUUAGCUAAUACCGCAUACGACCUGAGGGUGAAAGUGGGGGACCGCAAGGCCUCAUGCUAUAGGAGCGGCCGAUGUCUGAUUAGCUAGUUGGUGGGGUAAAGGCCCACCAAGGCGACGAUCAGUAGCUGGUCUGAGAGGACGAUCAGACACACUGGGACUGAGACACGGCCCAGACUCCUACGGGAGGCAGCAGUGGGGAAUUUUGGACAAUGGGCGAAAGCCUGAUCCAGCAAUGCCGCGUGUGUGAAGAAGGCCUCGGUGU
rnacentral:rRNA from 1 species